rnacentral:tRNA from 1 species
GCCUGCUUAACUCAAUGGUAGAGUAUCGCUCUUGUAAAGCGAAUGUUAUCGGUUCAAUUCCGAUAGCAGGCU